GAUGAACGCUGGCGGCGUGCCUAAUACAUGCAAGUCGAGCGAACGGACGAGAAGCUUGCUUCUCUGAUGUUAGCGGCGGACGGGUGAGUAACACGUGGAUAACCUACCUAUAAGACUGGGAUAACUUCGGGAAACCGGAGCUAAUACCGGAUAAUAUUUUGAACCGCAUGGUUCAAAAGUGAAAGACGGUCUUGCUGUCACUUAUAGAUGGAUCCGCGCUGCAUUAGCUAGUUGGUAAGGUAACGGCUUACCAAGGCAACGAUGCAUAGCCGACCUGAGAGGGUGAUCGGCCACACUGGAACUGAGACACGGUCCAGACUCCUACGGGAGGCAGCAGUAGGGAAUCUUCCGCAAUGGGCGAAAGCCUGACGGAGCAACGCCGCGUGAGUGAUGAAGGUCUUCGGAUCGUAAAACUCUGUUAUUAGGGAAGAACAUAUGUGUAAGUAACUGUGCACAUCUUGACGGUACCUAAUCAGAAAGCCACGGCUAACUACGUGCCAGCAGCCGCGGUAAUACGUAGGUGGCAAGCGUUAUCCGGAAUUAUUGGGCGUAAAGCGCGCGUAGGCGGUUUUUUAAGUCUGAUGUGAAAGCCCACGGCUCAACCGUGGAGGGUCAUUGGAAACUGGAAAACUUGAGUGCAGAAGAGGAAAGUGGGAUUCCAUGUGUAGCGGUGAAAUGCGCAGAGAUAUGGAGGAACACCAGUGGCGAAGGCGACUUUCUGGUCUGUAACUGACGCUGAUGUGCGAAAGCGUGGGGAUCAAACAGG
rnacentral:rRNA from 1 species